rnacentral:rRNA from 1 species
UAGUAACUGCGAGUGAAGCGGGAAGAGCUCAAAUUUCGAAUCUGGCGGUCCUGUGGCCGUCCGAGUUGUAAUCUAGAGAAGCGUCUUCCGCGCCGGACCGUGUACAAGUCUCCUGGAAGGGAGCAUCAUAGAGGGUGACAAUCCCGUCUCUGACACGGACCUCGGGGCUAUGUGAUGCGCUCUCGACGAGUCGAGUUGUUUGGGAAUGCAGCUCAAAUAGGGUGGUAAACUCCAUCUAAAGCUAAAUAUGGGCGAGAGACCGAUAGCGAACAAGUACCGUGAGGGAAAGAUGAAAAGAACUUUGGAAAGAGAGUUAAACAGUACGUGAAAUUGCUGGAAGGGAAACGCUUGACGUCAGUCGCGUCGGCCGGGGAUCAACCUUGCUUCUCGCUGGGCGUAUUUCCCGGUCGACGGGUCAGCAUCGACUUCGGUCGUCGUAGAAGGACGGGAGCGAACGUGGCACUCUCCGGAGUGUGUUAUAGCCUUCCGUAUGGAUGCGAUGGCCGGGAUCGAGGAACUCGGCACGACCCCUCGAGGGUUCGGGGCUUCGGCUCACGCGACGUGCCCAGGAUGCUGGCGUAAUGGCUUUAAGCGACCCGUCUUGAAACACGGACCAAGGAGUCUAACGUGCCUGCGAGUGUUUGGGCGGAAAACCCGAGCGCGAAACGAAAGUGAAAGUCGAGACCUCCGUCGCGGAGGGCACCGACGCCCGGACCGGAGCCUUUGGUGAUGGAUCUGCGGUAGAGCAUGUACGUUGGGACCCGAAAGAUGGUGAACUAUGCCUGAAUAGGGCGAAGCCAGAGGAAACUCUGGUGGAGGCUCGUAGCGAUUCUGACGUGCAAAUCGAUCGUCGAAUUUGGGUAUAGGG